rnacentral:rRNA from 1 species
GCUGGUCUGAGAGGAUGGUCAGCCACACUGGGACUGAGACACUGCCCAGACUCCUACGGGAGGCUGCAGUCGAGAAUCAUUCACAAUGCGCGAAAGCGUGAUGAUGCGACGCCGCGUGGAGGAUGACGGCCUUCGGGUUGUAAACUCCUGUCAUUCGGGAACAGCAGCAGGAGGGUGAAUAGCCCUUUUGUUCGAUGGUACCGGAAGAGGAAGUCACGGCUAACUCUGUGCCAGCAGCCGCGGUAAUACAGAGGUGGCGAACGUUGUUCGGAUUUACUGGGCGUAAAGGGUGCGUAGGGGGUUUCGUAUGUCGGGUGUGAAAGCCUAGCGCUCAACGCUAGAACUGCACUCGAAACUGCGGGACUAGAGUACCGGAGAGGAGAGCGGAAUUCUCGGUGUAACGGUGAAAUGUGUAGAUAUCGAGAGGAACACCGGUGGCGAAGGCGGCUCUCUGGACGGAUACUGACCCUGAGGCACGAAUGCAGGGGGAGCAAACAGGAUUAGAUACCCUGGUAGUCCCUGCCGUAAACGGUGUACACUUGGUGUGGGGGGAGUUGAUCCCCCCCGUGCUGGAGCUAACGCGUUAAGUGUACCGCCUGGGGAGUACGGCCGCAAGGCUAAAACUCAAAGAAAUUGACGGGGGCCCGCACAAGCGGAGGAGCAUGUGGCUUAAUUCGAUGCAACGCGAAGAACCUUACCAGGGCUUGACAUGCAGCUGCUAAUUCUUCGAAAGGAGAACUCCUUCGAGGGUGCUGCACAGGUGCUGCAUGGCUGUCGUCAGUUCGUGCCGUGAGGUGUUGGGUUAAGUCCCGCAACGAACGCAACCCCUGUGUCUAGUUGCCACCGUUGGUGAUGAGCCAGCGAGCACUCUAGACAGACUGCCUGUGAUAAGCAGGAGGAAGGUGGGGAUGACGUCAAGUCCGUAUGGCCUUUAUGCCCUGGGCUGCACACGUGCUACAAUGGCCGGUACAGAAGGAUGCAAUGCCGCGAGGUGGCGCAAAUCCCCAAAGCCGGCCCCAGUUCGGAUUGGAGUCUGCAACUCGACUCCAUGAAGUUGGAUUCGCUAGUAACGGCGCAUCAGCUACGGCGCCGUGAAUACGUUCCCGGGCCUUGUACACACCGCCCGUCACAUCAUGAAAGCCGUCUGCACCCGAAGUCGCUGAUCCAACCCGUCAAGGGAGGAAGGUGCCGAAGGUGUGGGUGGUGAUUGGGAUGAAGUCGUAACAAGGU